AUUGACAUCACGCUAAAAGUCACCUCAUUUUCCAAUAAUGGAUUGAAUCGAAUCGUAGUGUCAUUGAAUUCGUUGUGUUUGGCGUUUUUUCUAUAUUAAGCAGUUCAUAGAUUCUUAAAUAGAUAUCGUAUACACGAUUUCUGUCAGUGACCAGUGUCAGUUUCAUAGGUAAGUGAAAAAUGCAAUGCCAUUCAUUUGCAUCCUUGAUAUGUAUUAAGUAGUUUUAGUUUAUCACUCUAGUGGAAAAUCAUUAUGUUGAUCGUAAAGAAAAUUAGUAGUAAUGAAAGUUUAUUGGCUGGAUAUUCAUUCAAUGAUUAGUUAUUUAUGUUCCAUAAUAGCGCAUACUUAAAGCGCCAUUACAUCUUAUUGUAGGUAAAUAAUGAAUUAGUUUUCUAAAGUUGUUUUAAUUUUUGAAUUCGCUAGAUGAUAAUAUUUGUUAUGAGUUAAAUGUUUCGGUGUUUUCAUCCAUGCUUACGAUGUUCCACAGGUGGAAUAUACCUAGGUUAGAUACACUUCGGUCUACGCGUGUUCACUAAAAACUUAUUAACUGUACCUUGAUGACUAUUAUUUAACACAUACAAUACCGGUAGACAGCUUGAUUAACUAAAAACAAGCAAGGAUUAUUUUUUCUUAACUAUAGAUUCCACAAGCAAGUUUGUCUUUCUGAGCGCCAAGCACGAAUAACUAUCGCAUUCGUAAUGUAAACGUAUCGAGAUGACGAUACGUCAUGAGACGUUAACGGAGUGUGGCAGCACGAAGCCUAUUCUUUCAACUAUCGAGAGCUCGCAUCGAAUUCGAUAGUGACGUCAUGCUAAUGUAAACUAGAGAAGCAGCCAAGUGAACGAUUUGAAUGACUUAUUGAGCAUAAAGAUUUCGUCUGAAAACUAAAUUAAAUUUAUAUAUAUAUUUCAACCUUUGUCUACACGUUUUAUGCAAUAAUAUUUAUUAAAUAAAUAUUAAUUAUGUGCAAAAAGUUCUUAAAGCGAGUUAAGAGAAAUAUAACGUGACAUUAUCUAUGAAAAAAAAAUGAGUACUUAGUUUCAUUUUAUAAAUUGUUUUAUGAUUUCCGAACGUCGUAUUUGACAUUUGUCAUUUGCCGGUUGUUUGUUUGUUAUUUUAUCUUAUGUAAAUAAAUAACAAUUUUAACAUGUUACAUUUAAAAUGAGGACGAUUCAACUCCAAUAUGAGCUAAUGGUGGAAUUUAUGCAAAAAUUGGAAUAUUUGUGGGACCAGUCCAAUAUUACUGGGAGCAGUGGGCCUACUGUAUUCCUACCACACCACUCACUGUUCCUCACGAAGCCUACCCUUCGCCAGCGCCUCCACCAACACCACCGAUCCUCCAUCAGAGGAAGAUAGCUGGAAUCCUCCACCAGUGAAAAAACCUAAAGCGAGUUUGAUUAAAAUGUGUAUAGAGAAUGACAAGAAUACUAUGCUAGGGAGCGUGAGAAAAGUUAUUAUUUUUUAUUAGUUGAUUAUUUUUUGUUACUUACUGUUAAUUUUAUAUUUAUUUCAAUUUUUCUGUUUUUAUGUUAUUUUAAAAUAUUAUCAAAAUAUUGUUAAUGGCAUUGUAUUUAUAAUAAUUAUUCUAACUGUGUCAAUACUGUGAAUGUGGUGCAUGUCUAUAAUUGGCAUAACCACAUGAUCUUGUGUCUUCAUCUUGUUUUUCAUUAAUGUCUUAUAAUAAUAAAUAAAUAAAUUAUAUAUUAUUGGGAUUAAGAUUAGAAUAAAAUAGUUUUUAAGUUAUUUAUAUAUGUAUAUACAUUUUAUUAACUAUAAAAAGAGGAUUUUGUAGAAAAAAGUAAUAAAACACUUGAAAUAACUA